CAGACAGUAAAUAUUUUAGCACUUUAAGGUCCAAAGCUUCACCCUCUUCAACCAAUAAGUACCAGUUUAAGUUCCCAAAGGUCCAUACAGUUCCCCAUUUUCAUUCAUUCCUGGGACUAAAGCUGUUGCUUUAGUGUCUUGGUGUUGACUCUCUGUGGUUUCUUGUGGGGGGGGGUUGGAUGUGCUGGCCUAUCUCUGUGGUUGCAGUACUCUCCCAGUUAAAGAUCGUCUUGUAGACAGCGCCUCCCCGGUCUAUCAGGCCGUCCAGAGCGCAGAGAAGGACCCGGACCUGGGCGAAUGGGGCCGCCGCAGCACUAACAUGCAGUCCAAGUCCUUCCGGGUCCUGGCCCACAUGACCGGAACUGAUUCCUUACCAGAGGAGGAGGAGCAGGAGGCACUGAGGAGGAGCAGCCCUACUGAGCAUGCUCCAGCUUGUGCCGGCUCCGCCUCUGCCUCUCCACCUGUUAUGGCUGCAGUGCAGCCUCUGGACCCCGCCCCCUCUUCACCUGACCACGCCCC